rnacentral:lncRNA from 1 species
CUCCUUAGGAGCACCCAUGGGUGCUGGGGUCCUUUCCAGGAGCACCCAUGGGUGCUGAGUCCUUUCCAGGAGCACCCAUGGGUGCUGACGUCCUUUCCAGGAGCACCCAUGGGUGCUGAGUCCUUUCCAGGAGCACCCAUGGGUGCUGCGGUCCUUUCCGGGAGCACCCAUGGGUGCUGAGGUUCUUUCCGGGAGCACCCAUGGGUGCUGACGUCCUUUCCAGGAGCACCCAUGGGUGCUGAGGUCCUUUCCGGGAGCACCCAUGGGUGCUGA